rnacentral:rRNA from 1 species
AUAAGCGGAGGAAAAGAAACUAACAAGGAUUCCCCUAGUAGCGGCGAGCGAAGCGGGAAGAGCUCAAAUUUAUAAUCUGGCACCUUCGGUGUCCGAGUUGUAAUCUCUAGAAGUGUUUUCCGCGUUGGACCGCACACAAGUCUGUUGGAAUACAGCGGCAUAGUGGUGAAACCCCCGUAUAUGGUGCGGACGCCCAGCGCUUUGUGAUACACUUUCAAUGAGUCGAGUUGUUUGGGAAUGCAGCUCAAAUUGGGUGGUAAAUUCCAUCUAAAGCUAAAUAUUGGCGAGAGACCGAUAGCGAACAAGUACCGUGAGGGAAAGAUGAAAAGCACUUUGGAAAGAGAGUUAACAGUACGUGAAAUUGUUGGAAGGGAAACGCUUGAAGUCAGACUUGCUUGCCGGAGCUUGCUUCGGUUUGCAGGCCAGCAUCAGUUUUCCGGGGUGGAUAAUAACGGUUUGAAGGUAGCAGUCUCGGCUGUGUUAUAGCUUUCCGUUGGAUACAUCCUGGGGGACUGAGGAACGCAGCGUGCUUUUUGCGAAAGACUCGUCUUUUUCACGCUUAGGAUGCUGGUGGAAUGGCUUUAAACGACC